GAUGAACGCUGGCGGCGUGCCUAAUACAUGCAAGUCGAGCGAACAGACGAGGAGCUUGCUCCUCUGACGUUAGCGGCGGACGGGUGAGUAACACGUGGAUAACCUACCUAUAAGACUUGGAUAACUUCGGGAAACCGGAGCUAAUACCGGAUAACAUUUUGAACCUCAUGGUUCAACAGUGAAAGACGGUCUUGCUGUCACUUAUAGAUGGAUCCGCGCCGCAUUAGCUAGUUGGUAAGGUAACGGCUUACCAAGGCAACGAUGCGUAGCCGACCUGAGAGGGUGAUCGGCCACACUGGAACUGAGACACGGUCCAGACUCCUACGGGAGGCAGCAGUAGGGAAUCUUCCGCAAUGGGCGAAAGCAUGACGGAGCAACGCCGCGUGAGUGAUGAAGGUCUUCGGAUCGUAAAACUCUGUUAUUAGGGAAGAACAAAUGUGUAAGUAACUAUGCACGUCUUGACGGUACCUAAUCAGAAAGCCACGGCUAACUACGUG
rnacentral:rRNA from 1 species